UGUGAAAGAAAACACGCAGCUUCACGGUAUGGAAAGGCACAUUUGUGGAAGACUUUCCAAAUAUGUGUGUUUCAGACAUGAGAGAGCUUCAACAGCCACAGAGAUGCUGAGGAUUCAUCCUUUCGCUCCAGAAACUGUCACCUCAGAAAAGCAGGAAGAAAGUGAAAAGGAAACUAUUUCUAAAUCUUUGUCUAUUCUGGCAUACAGCUCUGAACUGAAAUACCGUUUUUCACAGAAAUGACUGGCACAUUUUUAAACAGAUGUCUGCUCCAGCACAGUAUCCAGAUGCUAAGGAAAAAUGGGAGUUAUCUGUGAAUCUCUCACUCACCUCUCACAGUUUGUGAUAAUUUAGAACAUUAAAUAGAAUCACAUUGGUGUGAUGAAAGAACAAUUCAACCAAAACAAAUACUAAAAUAAUCAACAUCUUCUUAUUCUAUUGAUAUAUUUGCUUUAAGCCAGAAAUGUAAUUUUCAGUUUCAAUGAUUAAACAGUGAGCCAAAA